GAGCGGCGCGGAGAGGCCGCUGCGGGGGGAGCCGGCGGCCGCCGCUGCCGCCCCGGGCUCCGGGGCCCCGCCGGCCAGGCCCGCCGCCCGCGGCCCGCGCCCUCCCUCUUCCUCCGCCGCCGCCUCGGUCGCUGCCGCCCGCGCCGCCCGCGCCGCCCGCGCCGCCCGCACCGCCAGUGCGCCGCUGAGCCAGCGCCCGGCCGCGCCGGCCCCUUCCCAUGCGGGCGGCGCGGGCCCUGGGAGGGGCGCCCGCAGCCAGCCGCGCAGCAUGCACUGGGGGGUUGGCUUUGCCUCGUCCAGGCCGUGCGUGGUGGAUCUGAGCUGGAACCAGAGCGUCUCCUUCUUCGGCUGGUGGGCCGGGUCCGAGGAGCCCUUCUCCUUUUAUGGGGACAUCAUCGCUUUCCCUUUGCAGGAUUACGGUGGGAUCAUGGCAGGGCUGGGCUCCGAUCCCUGGUGGAAGAAAACCCUUUACUUGACCGGGGGAGCUUUGCUGGCCGCAGCUGCGUAUCUGCUCCACGAACUCCUGGUCAUUAGGAAACAGCAAGAGAUUGACUCCAAAGAUGCUAUUAUUUUGCAUCAGUUUGCAAGACCUAACAAUGGUGUCCCCAGUUUAUCUCCUUUCUGUUUGAAAAUGGAAACUUAUUUAAGGAUGGCUGACUUACCCUAUCAGAACUAUUUUGGUGGAAAGCUCUCUGCUCAAGGGAAAAUGCCUUGGAUUGAAUAUAAUCAUGAAAAAGUUUCUGGGACAGAAUUCAUAAUUGACUUUCUGGAAGAGAAACUUGGAGUGAAUUUAAACAAAAACCUUGGUCCUCAUGAAAGAGCCAUCUCCAGGGCAGUGACUAAGAUGGUGGAGGAGCAUUUCUAUUGGACCUUAGCUUAUUGCCAGUGGGUGGACAAUCUCAAUGAGACCCGGAAGAUGCUCUCUCUUAGUGGUGGCGGUCCCUUCAGUAACCUGCUGAGGUGGGUCGUGUGCCACAUUACGAAAGGAAUCGUGAAACGCGAGAUGCACGGCCACGGCAUUGGCCGCUUCUCAGAGGAAGAGAUUUACAUGCUGAUGGAGAAGGACAUGCGGUCUUUAGCAGGGCUUCUGGGUGAUAAGAAGUACAUCAUGGGGCCCAAACUUUCCACUCUAGACGCCACCGUCUUUGGACACUUGGCACAGGCAAUGUGGACCUUACCCGGGACGAGACCUGAGCGGCUGAUAAAAGGUGAGCUGAUCAAUCUUGCCAUGUACUGUGAGAGGAUAAGGAGGAAAUUCUGGCCUGAGUGGCACCAUGAUGAUGACAACACCAUCUAUGAGUCCGAGGAGAGCUGUGAAGGCAGCAAAACGCAUACGCCCCUGCUGGAUUUCAGCUCUUACUCAAGGACAGAGACCUUUGAAGAUGAGGGAGCAGAGAACAGUUUUUCCAGAACCCCAGACACGGAUUUCACUGGACACUCGCUCUUUGAUUCUGAUGUGGACUUGGAUGACUACACAGACCAUGAACAGUGCAAGUGACAUUCAGCCCUGCUGACCCUCCUCUGUUGGAGCUGCCAUUCCCUGGGGUCAGUCCAGUUUCCCAGGUAGAAGUCCAUCCGAGCUGGGAGGAGAUCUUCGUGCUUGACACAGUUCUCACAAGCUAACUGGACUAGAGCAGCCUUAUUUCUUUUUUGUACAAACAAGACACAGAACCAUUCUGAUGGCUCCAUUUAAAACAAACAGGCAGAAGAAAAAGUCAGCAUGGUUCCUGAAACCCACUUUUGUUUUCAUUAGAAAACUAAGAUGGUGUGGUAGAGCAGGUGCAAGAGCAGGUUGUCCACAGAUGGCGUGUACAUCGAUCCCCUGCAACCCGAGGGCUUAGGUGCAAGAUGGAUUCUUGAACAUCCUUCAUCCAGCAGGGUUCAAAGUCAGGAGAGAUGUCGUCAGAAGGAAUGUAGGAGAUAAAUGUUCUAUGGUGGCUGCUUGUUAUUUCCUGUGUGUAUAUUGUAUGUUGAGAUAUAAGUCAAAUAAAAUCCAUAGAUAUUCAGUGAACACCUACUAUGUGCAAAGCACUGUGCUAGGUGCUAGCCAGUAUGAGUUUUAUCCUACGCCCUGCCAGUGGCUAGCUGUGUGAUUCUGGGCAAGUCCCUUAAUUCUUGUGUGCCUCAUUUCCCUCACCUGUAAAGUGGGGGUAACAAUAGUCCCCGCCUACCUACCUCACAGGGGUGUUGUGAGGAUUCAUGUGGUAACAUACGGCGCUUUAAACCUCUCGGAAGAGGUGUGACAUAAACACAUUUUAUUCUUUAAUGUGCUUCCGUGUGUGUGGAGAUUGGAGGGCAAAGGAAUUCCACAUCUAGGCAACAGCGGCCACAGUCACUCGCCCAAGCGGAGCCAAUGGAACACACACCAAGGCACAGUUAGGACUCUGUCAUCAUCCUCUUUGUGACCUUGCUUGAAUCGAAAUCUUUUGUUUAAAGAACCUUGGAAAUGUUUCUACAGAUCAUCAACAGCUACAAACAGUCUUCAAUUCUACUGUACGUUUGCAGAGAAGCCUUUCUUUCGUUGCCUGAACGCACACUGGAACCUUGUCCUUUGUUGAUUCUGGAGUGUUAAGUUGCCUACGUUUGGUUUACUUGGGGGAAUAAAGCUCAGGAAUAGGAUGGAUUUAAUAGUGGUGAAAGGGAAAGGAUUUGACUGAUUUUUGUAAGCAGAAGCUCGCCAACUUGUAAUGUCUUUUUUGAAAACAAACCUUGCAAGAUGUAUUGGAAAGAUGAAGUAGGAAGAGGAUCAUUGUAACGGGUAGCAGAGCACUUUGUGCAGUGUGGACCCUAUGCAGUUUUAUUAACGCAGCUUUUCUGGUGUUCUCAGCCAUUGUCCAGCGAGGGGAAGGCAACGCUGAGGAAAAUCUUAAUGUUUCUUAAGGAUUUUUCCUCCCCUCCCCGUCCUCUGUCUCCCUCCCCAUAGAGCCCCUGAACUCUUGCGGUUACUGUGUUGACUGAGGCACUCCAUCUCUGAAGACAUAGUUUUGGUUGACUUAGAACAUUUUCUAGUGAAAUAUGGGUUGAAGAUCCUAGGGUGAUGGCUGUGGAUUUGGGCUUCUGACCACAACUGACUGGGGAAGGGUUAUUCCUUAUGGGGUUAAAGAGGAACUUCUUAAAAGACAGCGUCUUCUGCGAUCUGUAUCCUGCUGAGUGUCUGACAACUCCACCGUUGAUGAGGGUGACGGUUCCUCGAUGGUGGUGAUUGAAAAGAUGAGGGUCUGAGUCCUUCAUCUGGUGGUAUUUGAAUUUCACUGAGUGGGAGGAGAGAAGGAAUGAUGAACAGAUACUGGGGCUUCAAGCAACCACGAGGUGUGGCUGUGUUAGAGAUGUGUCAGGCACACUGAACGUUUUCUGGGUGGUGGCAUCUUACUAAAACCAUCCAAGGGACUACGGGUUUAAAUCAGAGACAAAUGCAGUCUGUAGGGAAGGAUUGUCUGUGAAUAUCCUGUUCAUCCUUGUCCUGGUUUCUGGCUUGUUCUCCCGGUUUGCCCCGCCUGAGGCUGGGCCUGGGAACUGGAGGAGUGGUCCCAGUGUGUUCACUCCUUUGAUUCUGGAACUUACUUCUAGUCUCUCAGAAGUGUUUGUGGCAUAUAGUUGCCAUUUUAUGAUAGAAAAUGUACAGAGUAUAUUUGUAUAUUCGUUUUAUAGAAGACCUUUACAUGUUUAGAGACACCCCAAAGGAUCCCUAUAUAGGCAGUGGGCUCCAAACCUUUGUGUCACUGACCUCAUCAGUAAAA